rnacentral:rRNA from 1 species
AUUGAACGCUGGCGGCAUGCCUUACACAUGCAAGUCGAACGGUAACAGGCCUUCGGGUGCUGACGAGUGGCGAACGGGUGAGUAAUGCAUCGGAACGUGCCCAAUCGUGGGGGAUAACGUAGCGAAAGUUACGCUAAUACCGCAUAAGCCCUGAGGGGGAAAGUGGGGGACCGCAAGGCCUCACGCGAAUGGAGCGGCCGAUGUCAGAUUAGCUAGUUGGUGGGGUAAAGGCCCACCAAGGCGACGAUCUGUAGCGGGUCUGAGAGGAUGAUCAGCCACACUGGGACUGAGACACGGCCCAGACUCCUACGGGAGGCAGCAGUGGGGAAUAUUGGACAAUGGGCGAAAGCCUGAUCCAGCAAUACCGCGUGUGUGAAGAAGGCCUGAGGGUUGUAAAGCACUUUCAAUAGGAAGGAACACCUACCGGUUAAUACCCGGUAGACUGACAUUACCUAUACAAGAAGCACCGGCUAACUCCGUGCCAGCAGCCGCGGUAAAGUGUG